GAUUGAAACAAGGUCCGUCUGAGUGGAUAUGGUCCACACGGGUCAGUUUCCUUGCUCAGGGAUGACAGAGGCAACCAGCACAGCUGAAGAGACGGGCUUGCCUUCUCCUGGGUGGAGACUCUGAAAUCACAGGCCUCAUAAGGAUGUAGCCUCGCAUGGACCCCCCUGUGAGACCCGCCCUGGACAAGGUGUCAGUGACAACCAUCCUACUCCAGGCAGCUGCAGUCAAGUUCUGACUUGUUAAGGUCAGAGAAUUCUGGAGUGAGGAGACGGCAGAAUGAUGGAGAAGCUCUUAGCCUGCAACCUGCAAUCCUUUCUGUAAACCGCUUGCUGCCGCUCUCUGCUGUGGCCCCGCCAGCUUGGCGUCCCUCUUCCUGCACAGAGCCAUACACGUGCAUAAAACGGAUUCUUCCACUGGGAGAAACAAAAUCACCUGAGAUAUCCUUUAGAACCUACGAAGAGUCCCGUCCCCCUAAAUCUAAGUUGCGAGCAAUCCGAUUUGGGAUCCUGCCCAGAGCUGUUCCACCAGGGCAGCGAGAGGGCCCUUCCACCUGGCCCACACUCCUGGGUCCUGAGUGCACAUUACAAGGCCAGCCUCUCAUCUUUCUCUGGUGAAUGUAAGCUCCUCAGCGGCACAGCGAUGCCUCAGGAUGGAUACUUCUAGAGGAGGACACAGAGAUUCUACUUCCAGGUUCAACCCCCACAGAAACGUGUGCACUCGUGAAUGAAAAGACAUGGAAGAAGAAUGUUCACAGCAUUAUUCAUCACAGCAGCACUAUCCAUCAACAGUAAAGCAGGUAGAUACGUUGUGGAAGAUUCAUAACUGUAAAUACUAUGGUAUUUCUCUUUACAGUCCUUUGUGCAUAUGUAAUAUUAAAGCUACACACUC